CACAGCGCAUACAAUGUGCAUU
rnacentral:miRNA from 1 species